UGGCUCGGUGGUGUAGUUGGUUAUCACGUCAGUCUAACACUCAGUUAGAUGCACUGAAGGUCCCGAGUUCAAACCUCGGCUGAGUCA
rnacentral:tRNA from 1 species